ensembl:miRNA cin-mir-4153 cin-mir-4153
GACGUCACUAUCCGCGGGCGUUUCGUGAUAUACAUACUCGAAUAUCGCGUUUGGUUACGUC